rnacentral:Y_RNA from 1 species
GGCUGGUCCAAUGGUAGUGAGUUAUCAGAACUUACUAACAUUAGUGUCACUAAAGUUGGUAUACAGCCCCCCACUGCUAAAUUUGACUGGCUUUAA